UUUUGUUACAGCUCUUUUAGAAUUUGUUUAGCAGGUUUUCCAGGAAAACCUCU
ensembl:snRNA U7 U7 small nuclear RNA